AGAUAUUUCAUUCGUGAUUAGCAAACGUGUCAAUCGUCAAUUGUGUGUUGAUGGCUUCUUGUACACUCGUGCAAAAACAACCGACGAAUUGCAAUUUUGGACAUGUAAUCAGCAUAGGGUUCUGGGUUGUACGGCACGCGCAACGUCUGGCCGCGGUAAGAAAGAUGACCGACCGGUCAUGAAAUUGCGCGGCUUUCACAAUCACAAAAUUAUCCAGGAACGUCGAAAGGCCGGUGAAAGCGCCAAGCUGCGAGAACAGUGCGCUCGCAAGCGGGAGGAGGAAGCGUUGCCAAGGAAGAAAAAGAAGCAACUUCAACCGCUACCGUUGGAGUGUGUUCUGGUUACGGAUAGCAAAGAAAAGUCCAUUGCCGAAAAGUGGGAGAACAAUUGAAAAUGUAUUUUCGUAAAUUGAUCUGGGCACAAAUACUGUGAUUAGGGUUAAGGUUACAAGGACAGCAAAUUUUAAACCUUGUAUUUAAUGUCUAUGAUCUGCAGGUCUCAGAUUUUCAGAUCGGCUGUUUGGAAGCACCAUGUGUAAGGUGGAUUUGAGAUAGAACUUUGCAUAAUGUAUAUGUUAAUAAAUUAAUCCUAACGUUUUUAAUCCAAUGAAUUUCUAUUUUAUCUGUUUUGAUAAAUUGAUCUAGUACUGCAGUUCUAUUAUUCAACUGAUUAUAUUCAUUGUUCAAUUUGCAGCAAUAUCAUUCGUAAUUAGCAAACGCGGCAAAACUCAAUUAUGCGUAGAUGGCUGUUUGUACACUCGGGCGAAGACAACUGAAGAAUUACAAUUUUGGACGUGCAAUCAGGAUAGGGUACUUGGAUGUACGGCACGGGCAACUACCGGUCGUGGUAAGAAAGGUGAUCGGCCGUCCAUCAAACUGCGCGGCUUCCCCAAUCACAAGAUUAUCCUGGAGCGUCGGAAGGCCGGUGAAUGUGCCAAGCUGCGAGAGCAGUGCGCCCGCGAGCGAGACGAGGAAGUGUUGCCAAGGAGGAAGAAACGGCUGCCUCCGUUGCCGUUGGAGUAUGUUCUGGUUAGCAAGGAAAAAUCCGCCAUCGUAAAAAAGGAUAACCAUUGAAAACGUAUUUGUUAGAUGAUAUGUAACAAAGUAAGACUAUUCUGUGAUGAGGGGCAAGGUUGCCAGGAACGCAAUGUUAAAAUCAUUUGUUUUACUUUCACCUCGCCACCUUAAUAACUUAAUAUUAGUCUAAUUAAUUCAUAUUAAAGUUCUAUGUUUCAUUUUUAAUCAUGCGAUUUGGUUGCAUAUUAUUUUAUACUUACAGUGUUCAGAGUUGACAGAAAAAAAAACUUAACUUCAAACUAUGGAAACAACAUUAAGAAAUUACAUAUCUAUUUUACAGAUGCCGUAGUCCAGUACAUCAAUGGCAAAAAGGGAACAUUUCCUCGGUUGAAAAUCGGCGGACAUUAUUUUACGAGGAGGCGUAUCUGCAAGACCAGCACCCGGUGGUAUUGUGUCAAGGAACCGGCCCUGAAGUGUAACGUACGUAUCACAACCGAUUCGUUCGGAACGAUAAUACGGAUAAACAAUGUUCACAAUCAUCCACCAGUGGCAAAUACAUCCAAAGGGCGACUGCUGACCACGCCUUUCGCGGAGAAAUCUAUUCAGAAGUACGAGAUGGAUCUUAGAAACUGAUGCCGCGCUGCCGUUUCUUUUUCAAGGGCAAAUAGACGAAUUGCUACUGAAUCUACAGGUCCUGCGACUUCUUUGUUUCCUAAGUGAUGAUAGGAGUAGUAAACUGAUCCAUAGGUGAAGUUUGAAUUAAAAUAGAUCUCAUUACCAGCGACCACCCAAAAAUCCAUUGGAAUCCGUCGAGUUCUACAAAUUACAAAUCUACAGAUUUUAAUCAUUAAUUUCGAUUACUUUUAAGAAUCGUCUGUUUUUUUAAAUAAUAAUAAAACAUACGUUAGAUAUUUGAUUUGUAAGAAUAAGCAAUCUCACCAAUCUACUGAAUUAUCAAAAAGAAAAUUUCGAUGAAACUUAUAAGUUAACGUUAUCUAAGACUAAUUUUGAGCCCCCUUAAUUAUUAUAAAAUUAUAAAAGAUGACACGCUUUUAAAUAGUUUGCGAAAAACAUUUUCAGUGUUACCAGAAAAACUUCAGAAGGUUUCCAAAUGACAAUCAUCAGUAUCACAGAAGCAAAAUCUCACCAACGAAAUAACUCUUAUUUUUCAGGUAACGAAGUCAACGCCAUGCGAUACUUUUGUACCGAUAAGGGAGUCCAAAAAUUGGAAUACGAGGGAUACCACUUCUGCAAACGAAGGACAAAGAAGCACUGCAUCCGUUGGUAUUGCACUAUGUGGCGUAGGAUGAAAUGCACGGCACGGGUUACAACAAUCACUUCUAAUGGAGCAGUAUUGCAGUUUUGUAAUGAUCACAACCAUCCACCGACGGCGGAAUGUCCUAAAAUAAUCCACAAGCGCAAGCGCAAAUCUUAAAACUUCUAUCGCGAAUGCGAUCUGAUUUCUAAUAUGCUCGAAACAGGAUCCUUGAAUCCAAAAUUACAGGUUGAAGAUUCUUGAAUGUGAUAUGUAUUAGCUGUAUUGACUCCAUAUUUUUUGUUUAAUAUAAGAUCUCCAAAAACCAUAAAGAAUGAGGUCGUAAUACUACUUUACAACCUUGAUAACAGUAGGAAUGAUGCAAAAAUGUAGUCUAAAGGAAAAAUGUUAAGCAUGAAUAAGUAUUAUGCAAUUGUUUUUGAUGACAAUCAAUUCUUGAUGAUUUUUUCUGUUGGAUGAAACCACCUCAUUCUGUAUUUUGUUUGUUGUCGUUAUGUUUCAGUAGGUACUCGAAAAUAACCAAAAAAAAAAAUUUGGCAACUCUGAAAAUAUACUG